rnacentral:rRNA from 1 species
AGUGUAGCGGCUACGUAAGUCGGAUGUGAAAGCCCUGGGCUUAACCUGGGAAUUGCAUUCGAUACUGCGUGGCUAGAGUCUGACAGAGGGAAGUGGAAUUCCGGGUGUAGCGGUGAAAUGCGUAGAUAUCCGGAGAACACCAGUGGCGAAGGCGGCUUCCUGGGUCAAGACUGACGCUGAGGCUCGAAAGCGGUGGGGAGCAAACA